GACGAACGCUGGCGGCGUGCUUAACACAUGCAAGUCGAACGGAAAGGCCCUGCUUUUGUGGGGUGCUCGAGUGGCGAACGGGUGAGUAACACGUGAGUAACCUGCCCUUGACUUUGGGAUAACUUCAGGAAACUGGGGCUAAUACCGGAUAGGAGCUCCUGCUGCAUGGUGGGGGUUGGAAAGUUUCGGCGGUUGGGGAUGGACUCGCGGCUUAUCAGCUUGUUGGUGGGGUAGUGGCUUACCAAGGCUUUGACGGGUAGCCGGCCUGAGAGGGUGACCGGCCAAAUUGGGACUGAGAUACGGACCAGACUCCUACGGGAGGCAGCAGUGGGGAAUAUUGCACAAUGGGCGGAAGCCUGAUGCAGAAACGCCGCGUGCGGGAUGACGGCCUUCGGGUUGUAAACCGCUUUCGCCUGUGACGAAGCGUGAGUGACGGUAAUGGGUAAAGAAGCACCGGCUAACUACGUG
rnacentral:rRNA from 1 species